CAAUACUUAUGUCUGCCGUUUGUAAGAAUUUUAAGCGCAUUAUGAUGAUAAUGCUUACCCUGUAAUAUGCACUUAUGCAGGCUAUUUAGUCAUUAUAUUACAAAGAAAAAUUGUACUGAUAAGAUGCAGCUUAUUCGUUGGCAUGGUAGUGAAUAAAGCAACGAAUAACACAACUUCCUAUGCAUUCAGUGACUUCUUCGAAACCGCUAAUCAUCUAUUAUCUUAUCGUUAACAACAGUGACAAUAAUAAGUGAUGAUCUGUGUUGUUUAGUGUUCACUUUACUUAGAACAAAUGUUGUAGCCAUUAAAGUAGAAGAUUUCGUAUCACAGUGAGCUACGUAUUUUUUACUGGAUUUUUUAAAAUCAAAAAUCAGUCCUAAAUUUACUGGAAUCUCGGUAAUACCAAAUUACCUUAUCAGAAGCAUUGUUGGGUGGAACUUGUGGUAGGAAUUCUAGAAAGUGGUUACUCAUUUAGCUCCUCAAAAUUAGACCUGACAGAAAGCAAGGCUUAGAUAGUGUAUUGGAAGGAUACUAAUAAACGACCGAUAAAUUAAUUCAAAACUACCGAUAAAAAAUAAUAAAUGAGAUAGCACGAUCUCAUAAUGCUGAAAUUCCACAUCAUUUGGUCUAUUUGGUAAAAUGUGGUAAAAAUAAGAAAGAAGCAGUUGAAUGUUGUAUAUGCCCAAAUAAGUCUUUGAUUUAAGAAAAAUAUUUUUCCCAACAAUAGGAAUAUGACUGUUAAUGCUUCUAUAUGAUCAUCAUAUAGAUCCAUUACCAAUGUCGCGGGCAUGCGAGGGAUUAUAUGUAAUAGUAUAGUAUGUAUCGUCAAACAAUGCAUAUGAAGACUAAUUAUUGUGUUAUACUGCAUAAACAUUGUGUGACAGGUUGUAUACUAUUAUGUAUAUGCAAAGAUUAAGUAGAACUAAGGAGUUCUACGGCUGGGAGUAUGUUAGUGCUUGCAUUGAAUAAGUCUAUGCAAGCAUUGGUAUAUUACGGACAUAUGAAAUCGUAUACGCAGCAACGGAAUACUCGAUUAUAUAGUGCACUCAAUGAUGCGCAGGUAUAGUGCGCAUGUAUCACAAUGCUAUGCAAAUAAUAUGCAAUAUGCUAUUGAUGCGCAAGUAUAUAGCAGUGAUAUACAACUAAUAUGCAGCGUGCUGUAUGAUAUUUGUUUUAUUGCUGUGUAUCAUAGUAAUUAAGAAUGGACAUAAUUGUUAUAGUAUGAUUCAUCUUGAUGCACAUGCAGGAUGCGCAUGUCAAUCAUUCUAGAAGUUAAUGACUUACGUAGGAUUAAGAUGAACCAUUAAAGGUAAUGUACUAAUGAAUCAAUUACGUAGGUUGAUUCAUUAACAUCUCUUUAUUUACAUUAAGUUCUUUGUUAUAUUUUAGUAUAAAUACUGUAAAGUUUGAUUGAAUAAAGUCAGUUAUUAACAUCAACUCAACGAGCUUGUUUCUAUUACAUUUCUCCGAGCUCAGGAGAAUUACUUCUACUCUAAGACUGUACCAAUGUGUAAGAAUGCGGUUUUAGCAGAAGGCUGAACAUAAUGGUGACCCCGACGUGAUGUCUUUUUGUAAAAGAUAUCAUCAUUGAACAACGGUCUUAGGGCAGUAGUAGUGUAGUGAAUGUCGUGUUAACUUGUCAAAACAUUGGUCGUGCAUUAUGGACAUUAAGUGAAGCAGCCCUGAAGGAAUUCUUUAAGCGUUUGGACUUGGUUGGCAACCUUAAAACCUCACCUCUAAGGCAGUUAUAAGGAACCAGUGAGAGGAGCAGAGGAAAAUAUUCGGAAUUGGUUGGCAGCGGAAAGUCACAGCUCUAAGGCAGUUGCAAAGGGCAACCGAAAAGAGCAACAUCCAAGUAUUUGGACUUGGUUAAAUACAAAAAUAGCAGCUUUAAGGCAGUUACACAAAGUAACUGAAAACAGCAAAAUCCAAAUCUGGACUUCAUUAACAAAAAACAAAAAAAAGUGCAGUGGAUACAAAAGUCCAUUAGGCGACUUUCAUUAAAACAAUUCAGAAGGAAUUGUUCCAGGCUAUAUAAUAGGCCAAAUGGUGUUAAUUGAAACACAAAAAUAAGUCCAUUAGGCGACUUUCAUUAAAACAAUUCAGAAGGAAUUGUUCCAGGCUAUAGGCCAAAUGGUGUUAAGUGUAACACAAAAAUAAGUCCAUUAGGCGACUUUAUCCGCGGAUAUCCCAAGUACUAAUUUAGUAUUUAUAUUAAAAAAAAAAAAUGCAGAGUUGGCAGAACACAAGCAACUCUAUAGAAAUUCUACGACUGCAGAUCGGGAAUUUCCGAAGUAUGAGCCUGAAAAUAACCGUGAUUUUGGAAGGCAAUUGAUUGGCAAAGCACUCAAAAUAAGAGUGUGGGAUAUCCACCCAAAAGUAUCAUAGCAAAGAAAUUGGUGAGAUUUUUGGGUAGCAGACACGAUAUCUCAAAGAGGAAAAUGGUCCUCAAAGUUAAAACGCAGUCCAACGGAACAGCUGUUUGUGAAUGGAAGCCGUGGAAGGUGGAAGUUGCAGCUGUGCAAAGGAUUAAACGUUGAGCUGGACACUCAGUUGUGAAAAGUGGAGCAGACAACGUGUUUGAUAAACAGAAAAUACAUAAACUGGAGUAGUCCGAUAGGUGACUACUAAAAGAAAGACUGGCGAUGCAUUGGAGCGUAUCGAAUGUGGAUUCGCAGUUCUUCAAAUAAUGAUAAACCUACGUAGUGCGCAAGUUUUUCAAACUAAACAAAACAUAAGGCCAUUAAUGGUAAAAAUGGCAGACAUCCAGGCGAUACCGGAACGGCAAAUGAGGAUCGGUAGUCAUGAUGGACAAUAGCGCAAGCUUAAACACAUAAAAAUAAAAAUAAAAACUUAAAGCUGUUUGUGCAUUGAAACCUAAAGGGGGUGGAGCUGACAGCUUAAUGAAUAAAAAAUUUAAAAGUUGUUUGUGCAUUAAAACCGUAAUGGGGUAGAGCUGACAGCUUAGUGAAAAAAUAAAUUCAAUUGAGAGUUGCAAACGGAAUUUUUUGAUCUUCACACGGAACUUAGAAAAUGUGAAAAGUGCAACUUAAUAAACAAAAUGACUUAAAUAGAAAUUGAUCUUGCAAUGAAAUCCAUAAGUGAGGAGGGAGCAGUCAAUUAAUAAAACAAUUUGUGAAAGUGCAUUUGGGCACUAAAUUAUAUCAAAAAGUGAUAAAAAAUUUAUUGUAGUAGCAAUGUCAUGGGAACCGAAUCUUUUGAGUGAUAACAUGCUCCUCAGCAGAUUGAAACCGAGCAGCAGUUUGGACGCAAAUUGUUGAACGGGAAAUAGGUAAUUUGGACGCAAUUUACUUAUCCUUAAUCUGCACUAUGAGUUGCAUUGAAUUCGAGAGAUUCGAUGAAAAUGAGAAUGUUACUUGCAAUAAAUAUAAUACUGGAUUCAUGAGGAAUCAAGUACAAGGACGCAUUGAAUCAAUAUAAAAAAGAGGGUCUUCGGAACAAGAUUGGUAACAGUUAUAAUUGAUAAAGUUAUUACGCAUAUGUGAUGUGUGAGACGAGACCAGUGAGAUAUUGAAAGAAUUCAGAAAUAUUAAUAAUCUGUGAUGGAAUAAAUAGAAAAGUAAAACUAUUGUUGAUAAGUAGCAAUUAAGAUUGCCUUACUAAAAACACACGUAAAGCAUCAUCAGUGCAUCGUAAUGAGUGAAAAUUUCAUCAGAAAGUGAAUAAUAUAAUCGAAAAACAAAAGUAAAAUAAUGAAUUCAGCAAAGAAAAUAAACGAAAUGAGGUAAUGGGACCGUACAUAGAGUGGCGCCAGUUUGAGUUGGAGAUCAAAAUUGUGGCGCGGUAACGAAGGUUCACCCUAAGCAGGAGUUUGGAACGUUCAUCCAACAGAAUCGUCAUCAUACCAAAUACAUCAUUUGAAAAACGGUAAACCGCACAAUGGUGCGGAAAUUUGUAAGUUGUUUUGUUAUUUAAAAUAUUUUAAUAAUUAAUCAAAACGCUGAGACUUACGAUUGAUGAGGCAAAUGAAUUUAAUAGAAAACAAAAAUUCGGCAAUUGUAUGUUCAUAUUCAAUGAUCACACAUAUUUUAAAAGAAUUGAUUAAAACUUAGAAAUUUGUAAAGUUUUAAUGUCCGGGAGACACUUACAGUUAUCGAUCAACCAUAACUGAAAGGUAUUUGUUGUUUGUGGAGCUUUCUUUCGUGAAAAUAAACAAAUAUUGCAGACGAGGUUCAGAAUUGACUAAUUAAUCAAUUGUGUUAUUAAUUCGUUAGAAUAAUGGUCGUCAAAAGACAUAUUUUAAUUUUUUUUUUUUUUUGUGAAACAUAUUCUAAUUUGAAUGAUUAUUGUCAAGUAUUUUAGUGACGUGAGUUGCGAAAUUGAAGGGACCUCAACUGAUUCCACAUGAGUAUAAUGUCGAGUUAUUGAUUUUGAUUUUUAAAAUUCAUUGAGUAUUAUGUUCGUUUUUAUGAAAUCGGAUAAUUUAUUUGAGAUUGAAAAAAUAUUUCUUUUGUUGAAAAAGAAGGUUUUGAAUCAUAAACUAGAGUAAUGAUACAUGAUCUUUAAUAAUAUUUUGUGCUAUUCAAAUAGAGGGUUCAAUAAUCAUUUUUUGAUAAAGGGAUCAAAUAAAUUUUUAAAAGUUAUGUUUAACUUUAUGUUUUCUGUUUUUCGGAUGAUGGUUUCGGAUUAAGUUUAAAGUAAAUAGUGAAAUGAAAUCGAUAUUGAGAUAAUGAUAAUCGGUAUUGUGUUUGAAAUACAGUGUUGGAUCAGGUGGGGAAGGUAUAAAAGUAUUAACGCCGUAAGUGCAGUCGAAAUUCAAAAUGGAAAGUACAUAAUACUUUUUAACGCAGCGUCAUUUUAAUACAAGGAAGCGUUGGAAUGUAGUUUUCCGUUUACUUGGUUAUUAAAUCGUUCACUUGAAAUUCAAAUUUUAGGCAAAAUUUCAGCAGGAAUUAUUAUCAGGCGUUUGUUAGAUUCAGAAUUUUGAUGGAAAUCUUUCAAAUGUAAUAAUACCUUCUGUUAGUAAUUAGAUAAUAAUAUAGCACCCGUCAUUGGUAUUACUUCAGCAAAUGUAGAAGGUAUGUGAAUUAAAAUCAAGUUAAAAAGAAAAUAUAAAUAAGAUAGUCAAUUCUUGAAUCUGUUUGUGCAAUAAGCGGUUCAACCAGUUAUUUGAAUUAAAAAUUUGUAUUCAGAUAAGUUGUCCGCACAGUAAUAUUAUACUAACAUUGUAAAAAAAAAAAAAAAAAAA